rnacentral:rRNA from 1 species
UACAGAGGAUGCAAGCGUUAUCCGGAAUGAUUGGGCGUAAAGCGUCUGUAGGUGGCUUUUUAAGUCCGCCGUCAAAUCCCAGGGCUCAACUCUGAACAGGCGGUGGAAACUACCAAGCUGGAGUACGGUAGGGGCAGAGGGAAUUUCCGGUGUAGCGGUGAAAUGCGCAGAUAUCGGGAGGAACACCGGUGGCGAAGGCGGUUCUCUGGGCCUUACCUGACGCUGAGGAGCGAAAGCGUGGGGAGCGAACAGG